rnacentral:rRNA from 1 species
GCACAAGCGGUGGAGUAUGUGGUUUAAUUCGAUGCAACGCGAAGAACCUUACCUGGUCUUGACAUCCCGGAGACCCUUAGGAAACUAGGGGGUGCUUCCAUCUGGAAGAAUCUGGAGACAGGUGCUGCAUGGCUGUCGUCAGCUCGUGUCGUGAGAUGUUGGGUUAAGUCCCGCAACGAGCGCAACCCUUGCCUUUAGUUGCCAGCAGUUCGGCUGGGCACUCUAAAGGGACUGCCGGUGUUAAACCGGAGGAAGGUGGGGAUGACGUCAAGUCCUCAUGGCCUUUAUGACCAGGGCUACACACGUACUACAAUGGCCGAUACAAAGGGCAGCGACACUGCGAGGUGAAGCCAAUCCCGUAAAAUCGGUCUCAGUCCGGAUUGGAGUCUGCAACUCGACUCCAUGAAGUUGGAAUCGCUAGUAAUCGUGGAUCAGCACUGCCACGGUAGAAAUACGUUCCCGGGCCGUU